rnacentral:rRNA from 1 species
UACGUAGGGUGCAAGCGUUGUCCGGAAUUAUUGGGCGUAAAGAGCUCGUAGGCGGUCUGUCGCGUCUGCUGUGAAAACUCGGGGCUUAACCCCGGGCCUGCAGUGGAUACGGGCAGACUAGAGUGCGGUAGGGGAGACUGGAAUUCCUGGUGUAGCGGUGAAAUGCGCAGAUAUCAGGAGGAACACCGGUGGCGAAGGCGGGUCUCUGGGCCGUAACUGACGCUGAGGAGCGAAAGCAUGGGGAGCGAACAGG